AGCAAUACUCCACUGAUACGGGAAUGGAUCCGAAGCCUCCAGAAGGCUAACAUAGGCUCUCCUUUCCCUACUCCUGCUCAAUACGUCCUCGUC
rfam:Anopheles christyi strain ACHKN1017 cont1.15940, whole genome shotgun sequence.